GUGCCAGCCGCCGCGGUAAUACCGGCAGCCCGAGUGAUGACCGAUCUUAUUGGGCCUAAAGCGUCCGUAGCUGGCUGCGCAAGUCCGUCGGGAAAUCCAGUAGCUCAACUACUGGGCGUCCGGCGGAAACUACAAGGCUUGGGACCGGAAGGCUCGAGGGGUACGUCCGGGGUAGGAGUGAAAUCCCGUAAUCCCGAACGGACCACCGAUGGCGAAAGCACUUCGAGAAAACGGAUCCGACAGUGAGGGACGAAAGCUAGGGUCUCGAACCGGAUUAGAAACCCUGGUAGUCC
rnacentral:rRNA from 1 species